UGGAUCAGUAAGAAAAUGAGCAAAUAGAGAGUGGGGGAUAGGAGCCGAAAAGAACUGGACUACAGUUUCUCUGGAACUUUUUUCCACCUUAGUUUUUGUGGGGCAGCUCUGGUGAAGCUGCAGCCGAGAUGCGACGCUGCUAUCGAGGACGCCAUAUGCACAUCUUCUAACUGUGCCCAUUGGCUUCCCAGGUUUCGACGGUGACGGGGAUAUUGCCCUAGGGUAGGGUCAUAGGCCUGACCUAUACGUCCUACCCAAGGGCGCCUCAUUAUUAGUUUAAGGACUACAAGGGAAAUUUCGACUGGAUCGCGACAACAUCUAAUCCUCUCGGUACGGAUCCACUCGGACAAGUACAUUCCAUCCACUCAGAUGACAGUCAACCACUCGGCCGUAUAACUCACUCGGGUAUGCAAAUACCAACAACCGGCAAGGCAGUCGAAGCAUAGAGGAGGUUCUGUAGUGGACUGACAUUAUGGCAUCAAUGCCCCAUCUUGUAACAUAAGAGGUGAGGGGGUGGCGCACUCUAUAUAAGCCACCCCCACCACAUAGCUCAAGGACCAGCUUCUUCUCCCCUGCGGGCUCAUUCUUUCCCUGAAGCUCUGCCUCUUUCUAUACCAUGUAACUCAUGUCCAUGACAGAUAAAACAAAGCCUCUCCGGAGCACGAGACGUAGGGUUGUUAUCUCCACUGUGAGAUGCCCGAACUCGCUAAAACCACCGUGUCACCCAUGUGCAUCUCGAUAGAUCGUGCUCCGUUAUCCACCCCCUUUCUAUUGUCGGAACCGUUGCCACGACAGUUGGCGCCCACCGUGGGGCCUGGCAUCUAUCGAGCCAUGAUGCAGAUGGUUAUUUCUUCAACCACCAGUGUCGUCCACCUCAUCAUCGUCACACACAGCCACCGGCGUCAUCCGCCUCGUCGUCGUCACGCGCAGCCACCGACGUCGUCGCCUCAUCAUCGUUAAGCGCGGCCACCGACGUCGUCGCCUCAUCAUCGUCACGCGCGGCCACCGACGUCAUCCGCCUCAUCGUCGUCCCCUUCGGCUUUGUCUGCGAUGCCAUCGACGAACGACCACACACGCAUGGCUGUUAAAAGCUCGUCCAGGUUCCUCGGGCGGCGUAGUACGACGACGGCGCUCGACCGGUUCAUCGGGUGGCGAGGCCCGUCUGCCUGUGCUCGGCCAACCGGCGCACAACUCCGGCUCCUCGGACAGCGAAACACGUCCACUAGUGCUCGUGUAACACGUCGUGUGGCCUCGCCCUUGGCUGCGCCGUCCGACGUCCCGCGUGCCGCUCGUCCUGUGCGUUGACCGCGCACGAGCAGAACGCAUCAGUGUGCCUCCGCAGCUGACCGGUUUGAUCUAACACUCACCUCCCUCCUUGAUUCAUUGCAUUCAGGAAAAGUAACGGAAGGACGUGGACUCAUAACUCUAGGAAGAGUUGAUUGACCGCCUCAUUAAUCGGCUAAUUGGUGAGGAAUCUCCAACGCUUGUCAUAGUAAGGACAAACGCAUGGAGUAUUUACUUCCUUUCCUUCCACAAGUUAAUUGCUUAUCUUUCGGUUUCCACCGUUCCACGCCAAUUAAUUUGUGCAUGCAUGCAUAUACAACUAUCCAACCUUUAAUGCAGCCAAUUAGCAUCAAUGCACGGGGCUUUUUGUCCAGCAUAAGGUUAUACUCCCUCCGUCCGGAAAUACUUGUCCUAAAGAUGAAUGUAUCUAGACUUAUUUUAGUUAUAGAUACAUUUAUUAUAUUCAUUUUUAGGACAAGUAUUUCUGGACGGAGGGAGUAUUUGCUAACUUAUAGGGUCACUCGGUUAGCUCCCAACCAGAUUAUCUUGACAUGCUAAGAGACCCGUCACACAGACAACUAAACGUCCACAUGAUAGCUAAAACGUUCAGUUUAUUUAAAUGGCAUUUCCAGCCAGAUGAUUAAUGUGCAGGCACUCUAUCGCACCGUGCCUCGUCUCUCCCCUCGACGCGCCUCUGUCACAUGGUCGUCCCGUGCAUCGUCACUCAGUUGGACGCGUCUCCAUCACUCGGCUGCCCUGCACGCUAUCACCCCACGGAGCGCGUCUGCAACAGUCGGUCGUUCUUUGCGUCAUUACCCCGCGCGUCGUCACUCGGCGAGACACACCUUCAUCAGUCGGCUGCCCCACGCGUCGCCACUCGCUCCGUGCAUCGUCACUCAACCGGAUGCGUCUUCAUCAUUCGGCCGCCGCGUGCGCGGUCGCUCAAUCGGACGCAUCUUCAUCAUUUGACCGUCCCGCGCGCUGUCGCUCAGCCAGACGCGUCUUCAUCACUCGGCCGCCCCACACGUUACCACUCGGUGGAACACGUCUUCAUCACUCAGUCGCUCGUGCGCUGUCAGACGGCUAAGUCAUUCUUCAUAGACUGCAUUAAAUUAAAUAGUUAUUUCCGUAUUACCGAAUGUAAGCCAAUUGUUUAUUUUCAUGUCGAAACACUUCACUUCUGCUUUAUUUGGGUCCAGAACUCAAACGAGUUCAGUCCGAUCCUCCACUCUUUUAGACUCUUGCUUUUUCCGAACUAGCAAUCACCUGGCACACCCAGCGGGUGCAAAUGGGUUUUAUUUACACAAAUCACUUCAGCAAACUCAUAUUACUUUGAGAAAAUUUUACUUCAGCUUGUGCUAUUUUUCAUACACAGGUUUCACGGUCACUCGGACGCCCCGCGCGUCGCCACUCAGCUGGACGCGUCGUCAUCACUCGGUCGCUCCGCGCACCAUCACUCUACCACUCCGCGCGUCGCCACUCUGCUCAACGCGCCUACAUCAUCCGGCCGCCUCAUGCGUCAUCACUCGGCUGAGCGCACCUACAUCAUCUCGACUGCCCCACGCGCCGUCAAUCUACUAAACGCUCCAUCGACACUCGGCCGUCCCGCGUGCCAUCACUCUGCCGGACGCGUCUUUAUCAUUCAGCAACUCUGCGCAUCGCCACUCCAUCGUCACUCGGCCGCCCCGCGCGCCGCCAUUCCGACGGAUGCAUCUACUUCACUCAACCGCCCCGCGCGUCAUUACACAGCUAAGACAUUCUUCACACACUGCAUUCAGUUAAAUAAUUAUUUAUGCAUUACCGAGUGUCAAGUAAGUUGCAUAUGACGUUCACUCAGAGGCCACGCCACCGAAUGUACUUCUGCGCUCGGUUCUUUAUCUUCAUGUCGGAUCCUUCACUUUCACAAGUUCAGUCGGAUCCUUCACCCUUUAGACUCUUGCUGGUUUUGAUCAGCAAGCACCUGGCACACCCAGCGGGUGUCUAUGGGUGCAAUUUAGACGAAUCAUUUCAACAAACAUUAAAUUAGUUCGAGAAUUUUUUAUGUUAGCUUGUGUUAUAUCUCAUACACAGGCUACCUCGACGCCUCUGUCUGUCAUUCUCGACGACAUGCUAGACUCGAUCGCUCCGCGCGCCGUCACUUGGUCGGGCGCCUCCACGACAACAUUCUCGACUCGGCUGCCCCGCGCGCCUUUACUUGACCGCUCCGCUCACCAUCACUCGGCGAGACGCUCCUUCGUCGCUCGGCUGCUCCGCACGCCGUUACUCGGCGACACGCUCCUUCGUCGCUCGGCCGCUCCGCGCGUCGUCACUCAACUGGACGCUCCUUCAUCACUCGGCAGCUCCGCGCAUCGCCACUCGACUGGACGCUCCUUCGUCACUCGGUCGCUCCGUGCACCGCCACUCGACCGGACGCUCCUUCGUCACUCGAUCGCCCCGCGCAUCACCACUCGACGAGACACGUCGUCGUCAUUCGGCAGCCCCGCGCAUCGCCACUCGACUGGAUGCUCCUUCGACACUCGGUCGCCCCGCGCGCCGUCACUCGACCGGACGCUCCGCGCACCAUCACUCAACUGAACGCUCCUUCGUCACUCGGCAGGUCCACGCAUCGCCACUCGACUGGACGCUCCUUCACUCGACUAGAUGCUCCUUCGUCACUCGAUCGCCCCGCGCAUCACCACUCGACGAGACACGUCGUCAUUCGGCAGCUCCACGCAUCGCCACUCGACUGGAUGCUCCUUCGACACUCGGUCGCCCCGCGCGCCGUCACUCGGCCGCUCCGUGCACCGUUACUCAGUGGGACGCUCCUUCAUCACUCGGCCACUCCUGCGCCAUCAGACAGCUAAGUCAUUCUUCAUACGCUACAUUCAAUUAAAUGAUUGUUUCCGCAUCACCGAGUGUCGAGGAAGUAGCACACGACGUUCACUCGGAGGCCACGCCUCCGAGCGUACCUCUGCGCUUGGUUGUUUAUUUUUAUGUGGGAACACUUCACUUCCGCUUCGUUUGGGUCCAGUACUCAAACGAGUUCAGUCGGAUCCCUCAGUUGCAUAAGUACAGUCGGAUCAUGCACAAGUACAAGCACCUGGCACACCCACUGGGUGUCUAUGGGUGUUAUUUACACAAACUAUUUCAGAAAAGAUCAAAUUACUUUCAUAAAUGUUUAUGCUGGCUUGUGCUAUUUUUCAUACACAGGUUACACGAUCACUCGACGCAUCUGUGCGCCAUCUUCGUCGUUACUCAGGCUCAGUCGCCGCAAUGAUCAUUCGUGCGUUUUCACGUGUUCGGAAGCCCCUUCGAUGACAUAGUGGACACGGCCGCCCCGCGUGCCGUCAGUGGGUCGGACGCCUCCUCGACAUACAUCAUUUGGUCGCCCCGCGCGUUGCUACUCAGCCGGACUCAUCUACCUCACUCGGAUGCCCCGCGCAUCGCCACUCCGUGUGGCACGUCUUCAUCACUCGGCCACCCUGCGCGCCAUCGCUCGGCUUAGCUGCGAUUCCGUAUCGCCUAAGUUAAAACUACUUCGAGUACGGACACGCUCCACACUCGGGGCUUAGCUGCGACUUCGUAUCGCCUAAAUUAAAAACAACUCUGAGUGCCGACACGCUCCACACUCGGGGGCUUAGCUGCGACUCCGUAUCGCCUAAGUUAAAAACUACUCCGAGUACAGACACGCUCCACACUCGAGAACUUAGCCGCGACCCCGUAUCGCCUAAGUUAAAAAAUACACUCGGAGACUUGACUUUGAUCCAGAAAUCACAUAAUGCAGAUUCAACAAACAUUCAACAUGCGAGCACUGGAAGACUUAAGCCCUCUGCCGGACUCAUCUAGUCCGACAGAGGCUCGGGGACUACACCCAGUGGGUGCACUGAGCGUGCCCCCACUGGAAGAGAAAUACAAAAAAGAAACAUUCUGCUUGGUCAGGUCCACCAACAACAUUCAAGUUCAACAGAUUCAACAGACUCCAACCAACUACUAGCAAUCAGUCAGAGUCUCAAGAUCAUGUUGGUCACUCGGAUCUACUUCAAUUCUCAAGUUCACUCAGACGUACUACUCAACGGAAUCAAUCAGGGCGAAUGAUGAAGACUUCAAUCGACGCACAAUUCUGCAAGGCCCUGAAGCACGUUCAAGUUCGGUCUGCUGCUACAAGAUUUACAUCGACACCUUCACCACUUGGACCCUAAUCCAUUCGGGGGCUAAUGACGGGGAUAUUGCCCUAGGGUAGGGUCAUAGGCCUGACCUAUACGUCCUACCCAAGGGCACCUCAUUAUUAGUUUAAGGACUACAAGGGAAAUUCCGACUGGAUCGCGACAACAUCUAAUCCUCUCGGUACGGAUCCACUCGGACAAGUACAUCCAUCCACUCGGAUGACAAUCAACCACUCGUCCGUAUGACUCACUCGGGUAUGCAAAUACCAACAGUAGGCAAGGCAGUCGAAGCAUAUNAAUGCAAAGCAUAUGCAAUAGCAUUGCAUUUGAAGAAGUGUAAUACUAAAAAAAAUAGAUAAUCCAAAUCCGUGUCUUGAGAGUGUCAUCGUAGCAUGAAGAGUCUUCAAAACUUGUCGAGUCGCCGAAGGAGAUAACGAAGAGAUGGCACAUCAGAGGUAGACACCGCAGUACUUGAAGAUACAAGUUAAGUAUCAAGAGAAGAUGGGUUAUCAAAAGAAGAUGGCACAUCAAGAGGAAGACACCGAAGAGAUGGCACAUCAGAGAAAGACACCGCAUCACUUGAAGAUACAACAUAAGUAUCAAGAGAAGAUGGGUUGUCAAAAGAAGAUGACACAUCAAGAGAAUAAAGCAUUGCACGGAAAAUCAUAGUCCACGACAACCGUCGGCGAAAGAAGCUCGGCAGAUAAUGCACAAUGGACGUAGAUCGACAAUGCAAAAGAAGUCCAGAAAAUCCUACAGAAAACAACAAGGGCAAAUAGACCACAAAAGUUGUAUAAAAAAAGGAUCAGGACCGGAGAAAGCCUGACAGACUAAGGUAUGGUGGACUCGCAUGACGUGAGAAAACACAAAAUAUCAACGGAUUUGGUGGACGCAGCGGAAAACAAGGAAGCUAAAAGCUAGGAAGCAUACACGACACAAAGAUGCAAAAUCCAUCAUGUAUGCAGAAGACAUUGUACUUUUUUUUAUAUUGUUGUUGAAAUCAAAAUAGGAACGGAGCAGAAGCUAGCACGCCGCCAGCCACGUACGUAGCCACGUACGUGACGGAAAGGCAGCAGCUAGCAUGCAUGAGCGAACGCAGCACUACGCAGCAAGAGGAACCAGGUAGCAGCAGGUACACCGGACGAAGAUGGCGAACGCAACACCACACAGCAAGAGGAACCAGGUAGCAACAGGUACACCGGACGAAGAUCAUCAAGCUGCAUGCACAUUGACUGCUCCUCGCGAGAUCCAUCAAGCUGCGUGGCCGCGACCUGGAGCCGCUCCAGCGGUAGGAGAUGGGGAGUCCAGGAGCAGGGCCAUCGUCCGGCGGCGCGACCUGGAGCGGCGAGAGAUGAGGCGGCGCAACCUGGAGCGGCGGGAGAUGGGGCGGCGCGACCUGGAGUGGAGGCGGCGCGACCUGGAGCGGCUGGAUCCAGGUGAGAGCGGGCCUGCGGCGGCGUCGAGAGAUCCGGCAGGGGCCGGUGGGAUCCGGCCUGAUCUGCAGCAGCCGGGGACAAAGACCCGCGGGGGCCGGCGGGAUCCAGUGCGUCGUGCCGAGCCAUGGGUCUUUGUCCCGCAUUCCAGCCGCCGUCGUGGCCUCCCUCUUCCCCAUCAUCCCUUCCCCAUAUGCCGUUGCCCUGCCCCCCUGCUUCCUCGCCUCGAUCUCGACCGGGUUUGGACGAACCGGACGACGACGAGGUGGUUCCCAGGCUUCGAUCCAGCAGGACGAAAGGAGAUUGAGCGGGGAGGCCCGCGGGGAUCGAUCGGGAGGGCGAGUUGCGGUGCCCGAAAAAAUAACCUAAGCUCUAAUACCAUGUUAGGAAAGCAACUUAUAUGUAUUGAAGGCCCAAGGGGCAUAUAUAUAUAUUACACAUGACUUGAGGUGCAAGGAAAGUAAACUAUAGACUAAUAAGGACUCCUAGACUAAUACUAAUACUUCCUAACAGCAUAGAGGAGGUUCUGUAGUGGACUGACAUUAUGGCAUCAAUGCCCCAUCUUGUAACAUAAGAGGUGAGGGGGUGGCGCACUCUAUAUAAGCCACCCUCCACCACAUAGCUCAAGGACCAGCUUCUUCUCCCCCUGCGGGCUCAUUCUUUCCAUGGAGCUCUGCCUCUCUCUAUACCAUGUAACUCAUGUCCAUGACAGAUAAAACAAAGCCUCUCCGGAGCACGAGACGUAGGGUUGUUAUCUCCAUUAUGAGAGGCCCAAACUCGCUAAAACCACCGUGUCACCCAUGUGCAUCUCGAUAGAUCGUGCUCCAUUAUCCUACCCCUUUCUAUUGUCGGAAUCGUUACCACGACAGACGGCGCUC
rnacentral:lncRNA from 1 species